rnacentral:lncRNA from 1 species
GUCGCGUCCCGGGACCGGACGACAGGAGGCAUGUUCUGCGCUAGCACCGUGACUUUGUUCCCAGCGUGGGGACUGUGGGAGAGAUGGAGAGAGACUGGUACAGAAAUGGUGAGACAAGGAGAGAGCCAUAAAGAGGAAGACAGAGAGAAAGAAGACAAAUGCAUAAAGAGGUUCAGAGACGUGUGACUGUGGAGAUCGAAGGCCUGGUUUUAGGGCUAGCGAACACCUUCUCCCUUUGGUUUUGGUCCACAGAAGACUGGUGAUACAGAGCAUCCUCGCCAGGAGAGGCAGAGUCCAUGGAGCAGCCGAGACAGCUGUGGAAGAGAAGGUGCCAUGCGGAGCUACUGAGAGAGAGGGAAGGGCACCCCAUCACUACACACAGCAAAAAAUGACCUUCUGCCAAAGAAGCUGAUGGUUCAGGAAGAAAAUAGAGCUGACUAUCCCUGAAGGAAAAGGAAACGUGGUACUGUUUUGCUUUAUCACAAAUACAAACAAAAGGUUUAAAGAUGGAAAGAAAAGAACAGAAAGGAAAAAGAGUGAAAAGCCAGGAAAAGCACCUAGGAGGAAUAGCCCUCUGCUGCCAUACU